CAGACGUGAACAGAACCAAAUUGUGUCCUUGUGUCUGUAGAACUAAAACAUCUCCCUUCUCAGACAAAACACGUCGGGAGAAAGUCAGAAAGUUGACGUCGGCGACCACUGGCGAAGCGAGAUGAAGUGUCUGGAGAAGUCUUCUACCAGG